GAUGAACGCUGGCGGCGUGCCUAAUACAUGCCAGUCGAGCGAACAGACGAGGAGCUUGCUCCUCUGACGUUAGCGGCGGACGUGUGAGUAACACGUGGAUAACCUACCUAUAAGACUGGGAUAACUUCGGGAAACCGGAGCUAAUACCGGAUAAUAUAUUGAACCGCAUGGUUCAAUAGUGAAAGACGGUGUUGCUGUCACUUAUAGAUGGAUCCGCGCCGCAUUAGCUAGUUGGUAAGGUAACGGCUUACCAAGGCAACGAUGCGUAGCCGACCUGAGAGGGUGAUCGGCCACACUGGAACUGAGACACGGUCCAGACUCCUACGGGAGGCAGCAGUAGGGAAUCUUCCGCAAUGGGCGAAAGCCUGACGGAGCAACGCCGAGUGAGUGAUGAAGGUCUUCGGAUCGUAAAACUCUGUUAUUAGGGAAGAACAAAUGUGUAAGUAACUAUGCACGUCUUGACGGUACCUAAUCAGAAAGCCACGGCUAACUACGUG
rnacentral:rRNA from 1 species